UACGGAGGGAGCUAGCGUUGUUCGGAAUUACUGGGCGUAAAGCGCGCGUAGGCGGCUUUGUAAGUUAGAGGUGAAAGCCCGGGGCUCAACUCCGGAACUGCCUUUAAGACUGCAUCGCUUGAAUCCGGGAGAGGUGAGUGGAAUUCCGAGUGUAGAGGUGAAAUUCGUAGAUAUUCGGAAGAACACCAAUGGCGAAGGCAGCUCGCUGGGACGUGACUGACGCUGAGACGCGAAAGCGUGGGGAGCAAACAGG
rnacentral:rRNA from 1 species